rnacentral:rRNA from 1 species
GACAGAGGUGCCAAGCGUUAGGCGGAAUCACUGGGCUUAAAGCGUGUGUAGGUGGAUUUGUAAGUACCUCGUGAAAUCCCAUGGCUCAACCAUGGAACUGCUCGGUAUACUGCGAAUCUUGAGCCACUUAGGGGCUACCGGAACAAAUGGUGGAGCGGUGAAAUGCGUAGAUAUCAUUUGGAACGCCAAUGGUGAAAACAGGUAGCUGGGAGUGUGCUGACACUGAGACACGAAAGCCAGGGGAGCGAACGGG